ACAGACCGCAGUGCACUCUGCAAACCUCCCCCUGUGCUUCCUGGCUGAACAAAGAAGACUGAGGGCUGACCAGAUACACAAGUUGUCUUCAGAUGUAAUUUACGUGCAAUUGGAAAAGGAAUAUCCUGCUAAGAGCUGUCUACAGAGCUGCUUAAAACCUUCCACAGGUGUUGAAUACAAGCAGAGAAUGAUGCUGGACCCCCCAGAUGUUCAUAUUAAAUCGAGCACUAUGUGUAAGAGGAUGCUGGUGGUUCCUGCAGCCUGUUACUUUCUGCUUUGUUAACAGGAGUGCUUCCUGGCUGGCUUGGAGGAGCUGACUCUCAAUGAGAAUAUAAGUGCAGUAGUGGGGGAAACAGUGGGAAGUUCUGGAGCGUUCUCCCCAGCCCUGGGAUGCUCUCAGCAGGAGGGCUGUUUCAUUCUGCAGCCUUCAGCCUCGUCUGCUGGGAAUGCAGCCUUCCUGCAACGGGCAAAAAUCCACGAAGGCAUUCUAAGUGAAGAGAACAGGAACAGGUUUGCACUGCCAUCUUCAGCCCCAGGGAAAAAUGGAACUCUUUCAUAUGGUGGACUGAGCGUGUAGCUGCACAGGGUAUCCCACAGGCAGAAAUGGAGCUCCUGCUGCUCUUGCCAUUGGUCACGCAGGAAGAGACAUGGAGGGGAAGGGUGUAUGACCUCCAAGGUGCUGCAGGACAGAAAUGCAGGCAGUAAAUAACCGAUGGUAAAGCAAGGGCCUGGGGGAGGGAAAUCUGAAAAAAACGGAGCAACUUGGAGUACUAGAAGAGAAAAUGAACAGAGCAGUGACACACUUUGGGAGACAGGAGGGAUGGAUCACCAAGUUUGCAUAGGAGUUUUGAAGGCUUCUCCUUUCCCUUUCUAAUACAAGUGGCUCUUUCCUUAACACAGACCGACACAGCUUUGCUGGUAGUCAGCCAUCUGGUAGUGAAGUGUCUAAACAGCAUUUAAGAUUUGCUGUUGCACUGAAAUACACGGUCACCAGAGAAAUGUGUCGCUAUCAUUUUACACUGCUGUGAUUUUACAUCUUCAAAAAUGUUUGACUUCUUGGAGAGGCCAUGGUGCAUGAGGGGUUCUGUCAAAGUUAGUGGGGUACUUGUAUUAUUAACUACUCCUGUGGCAAUACAUGGAAGAAACUUCUCAGGAGCUUACAAAGGGCUCUGUACUGAAAUUCCUGAAGUGUCUUAACAAUGCAGUAAUACUGCUUUACACACAGAGCCACACGUCUCUGGAAAUCUAGCUGCAGAAUGAACCAUCAUGUUACUGCAAAGCUGAAUAACUUUAAAUACAAAAUGCUGAAUUUU
ensembl:lncRNA